rnacentral:rRNA from 1 species
GACGUAGGGGGCGAGCGUUGUCCGGAUUUAUUGGGCGUAAAGCGCGCGCAGGCGGUUCGGAAAGUCGGAUGUGAAAACCCGCGGCUCAACUGUGGGCGGGCAGCUGAUACGGGCAGGCUGGAGUUCGGUAGGGGAGACUGGAAUUCCUGGUGUAGCGGUGAAAUGCGCAGAUAUCAGGAGGAACACCGGUGGCGAAGGCGGGUCUCUGGGCCGAUACUGACGCUGAGGAGCGAAAGCGUGGGGAGCGAACAGG